GACGAACGCUGGCGGCGUGCCUAAUACAUGCAAGUAGAACGCUGAAGGAGGAGCUUGCUCUUCUGGAUGAGUUGCGAACGGGUGAGUAACGCGUAGGUAACCUGCCUGGUAGCGGGGGAUAACUAUUGGAAACGAUAGCUAAUACCGCAUAACAGUAGAUGUUGCAUGACAUUUACUUAAAAGGUGCAAUUGCAUCACUACCAGAUGGACCUGCGUUGUAUUAGCUAGUUGGUGGGGUAACGGCUCACCAAGGCGACGAUACAUAGCCGACCUGAGAGGGCGAUCGGCCACACUGGGACUGAGACACGGCCCAGACUCCUACGGGAGGCAGCAGUAGGGAAUCUUCGGCAAUGGACGGAAGUCUGACCGAGCAACGCCGCGUGAGUGAAGAAGGGUUUCGGAUCGUAAAGCUCUGUUGUAAGAGAAGAACGAGUGUGAGAGUGGAAAGUUCACACUGUGACGGUAUCUUACCAGAAAGGGACGGCUAACUACGUG
rnacentral:rRNA from 1 species